rnacentral:misc_RNA from 1 species
AACGCACAUUGCGCCCGCCAGUAUUCUGGCGGGCAUGCCUGUCUGAGCGUCAUUUCAACCCUCAUGCCCCUAGGGCGUGGUGUUGGGGAUCGGCCAAGGCCCGCAAGGGACGGCCGGCCCCUAAAUCUAGUGGCGGACCCGUCGUGGCCUCCCCUGCGAAGUAGUGAUAUUCCGCAUCGGAUAGCGACGAGCCCCUGCCGUUAAACCCCCCAAACUUUUACAAGGUUGACCUCAGAUCAGGUAGGAAUACCCGCUGAACUUAA